GGGGACGUUACGGAUUCGACAGGGGUAGGUUGUGCUUAAGUGGCGAGUCGAGGGGUCGCGGGACCUCGUAAAAACGCGAAAGCCUAUAAAUGGCAAAAACAAUAAUUACGCUUUAGCAGCUUAAUGCUAAAACCUCCCAGCUUUAUCUCCCAUGUAAAGCUGACGAGGUUCAUUUCUGUGGGAUACGCUUCUUAUCCUCCGCCUGCGGAUAAAAGAAGAGAUCAACCAGGCUAGAAUGUCGGAGGCCUGUCGGUGGGCAUAACACAUUUCGAACAAAAAUAUACCGACUACACUCGUAGAGGCUUAAGUAACAAUAUCUUUGGACGCGGGUUCGACUCCCGCCGUCUCCA
rnacentral:tmRNA from 1 species